rnacentral:lncRNA from 1 species
UUUGGGACCUGUAGAGUUGGUGGCAUCUCUUGCCAUCCACAUGGAGAUGACCAGUGUUCGCCUGCAUGGAUGGGUAUGGAGGCGAGGAUCUGAGCUGGAGACAGACUGGUGAGCAGCUGGAGCCCCAGUGAGCCUGAGACCCAGGGAGCUUAGAAACCCGGCCAGAAUCUGGCAGAGGGGGGGCCCUAACCCGCCGUCUGAGCCCACGGUGGCACCCUUAAUCACCAAGCUCCACAGUGUGGAGGACGAGAGAGUGGAACUACCGGAGAAGACACGGGGAUGCGGCUCGGAGAGAGAGGAUGGACUGAAGCGAUUUGAAAGGCAGUUCUGGAGCCUGGGAAAUCCAAGAUCAAGGCGCCAGCAGAUUCAGUGUCUGGUGAAAGCCCACUUCCUGGUUCAGAGAUGGUCCUCUUUUCUCUGUAUCCUCACAUGGUGGAAGAGGAGCAUCUGACCAAACUGUCCAUGCAUCCUCCUUCCACUAGAACACCUUCCUGCAAGCUCGCUCCUGGAGGUUCACCCUUUACCAGACGUGGAUGAUUCUCAGAUGGGUUCAAGCUGGGACCACAUGCUCACGCACAUAUGCACAAGCAUGUGUUCACACUGUUACUACCACAUCUUCUGUAAGAGCACAGAAGAAAUAAUAAAAUUAUCCUUGAUUAAGCA